rnacentral:rRNA from 1 species
AAUAGAUACCCAGGUAGUCCACGCCGUAAACGAUGAGUGCUAAGUGUUAGAGGGUUUCCGCCCUUUAGUGCUGCAGCUAACGCAUUAAGCACUCCGCCUGGGGAGUACGGCCGCAAGGCUGAAACUCAAAGGAAUUGACGGGGGCCCGCACAAGCGGUGGAGCAUGUGGUUUAAUUCGAAGCAACGCGAAGAACCUUACCAGGUCUUGACAUCCUCUGUCAACCCUAGAGAUAGGGCGUUCCCCUUCGGGGGACAGAGUGACAGGUGGUGCAUGGUUGUCGUCAGCUCGUGUCGUGAGAUGUUGGGUUAAGUCCCGCAACGAGCACAACCCUUGAUCUUAGUUGCCAGCAUUCAGUUGGGCACUCUAAGGUGACUGCCGGUGAUAAACCGGAGGAAGGUGGGGAUGACGUCAAAUCAUCAUGCCCCUUAUGACCUGGGCUACACACGUGCUACAAUGGAUGGUACAAAGAGCUGCGAACCCGCGAGGGUAAGCGAAUCUCAUAAAGCCAUUCUCAGUUCGGAUUGUAGG